AUUGAACGCUGGCGGCAUGCCUUACACAUGCAAGUCGAACGGCAGCACGGGUGCUUGCACCUGGUGGCGAGUGGCGAACGGGUGAGUAAUACAUCGGAACAUGUCCUGUAGUGGGGGAUAGCCCGGCGAAAGCCGGAUUAAUACCGCAUACGAUCUACGGAUGAAAGCGGGGGACCUUCGGGCCUCGCGCUAUAGGGUUGGCCGAUGGCUGAUUAGCUAGUUGGUGGGGUAAAGGCCUACCAAGGCGACGAUCAGUAGCUGGUCUGAGAGGACGACCAGCCACAAUGGGACUGAGACAAGGCCCAGACUCCUAAGGGAGGCAGCAGUGGGGAAUUUUGGACAAUGGGCGAAAGCCUGAUCCAGCAAUGCCGCGUGUGUGAAGAAGGCCUUCGGGUUGUAAAGCACUUUUGUCCGGAAAGAAAUCCUUGGCCCUAAUACGGUCGGGGGAUGACGGUACCGGAAGAAUAAGCACCGGCUAACUACGUG
rnacentral:rRNA from 1 species